GUCCCUCUCUCUCCUUUCUCCCUCCACCCGAGCCGCCGGCUGCUCUUCCACCGAGAGGAACACAGUAGUCCCCGAGUCCCUCCCCUUCUCUCCCACCUCCCGUGAUCUCCGCCAUCCCACCUCCCCCGAUUCAUCUGCAGUUCAAGGUUUCUAGAGGCUACAUCCAGAGCCCAGACAAGCUACUUCAUGCCCAACUCCGCUCCCUCCCGGCACUAACCCGUGCUCCGCCAAUCGGGUCGAGGAAAGGACAUCGCCCCACCGCACUUGCCGGAUCUGCCGAGCCAGUGGCCAGAUCCGCCGAGCCAGUAGCCGAAUCCAUCGAGGUCGCGUCUGGAUCUUGAUCUUCUAGUCCUCCCCGCCUUCUCCUCCGUCGAUGGCAGGCGGCAGAAACAUGCAAGGCGCGUGUGACUGCUCCGGCCAGAGAAAGGCGCGAGGUGCGAGGCGAUGGCGCGUGGUCCAGCCGGGCACGGCACCGGCGGGCACCACUUUACCGGGGCGCGACUCCGGUAGCCAACACCGGCGCCCAAAUUGGAUCCACCGAACCCAGGCGCGGCCUCCGACUUGCAUGCAGUUUUGAGUUCAUCAGGAGAGCGUGCGCGCGAGAGAGCGCUGCUCCCGUCUUCCAGCGAACCCCAAGGAGAGCAGAGGAGGAGAUGACCAAGGGCGAGGAUGUGUGGCAGCAGGUCGACAUCAUGGGCAACUACCAGGCCACCAGGGCAACCGCACCACGCCCUCCUACGUCGCCUUCACCGACACUGAACGCCUCACCAGCGACGCCGCCAAGAACCAGGUCGCAAUGAACCCCACCAACACCGUCUUCGGUUCGCCGCGGUUGAGUACUGGAGAUGGAGUGUGAUUGGAAUAGCGUCGACCCCCAUUGGCAUUUAUCUUAGCGAGUUGCUGGCCUCAAACAUGUUUUGUACUGAGAUUUCUAUAAUGUUGGCCUCAAACAUGUUUUGUACUGAGAUUUCUAUAAUGUUUCAUGUGAUGUUUCUGUAGUGUAGAUAUAGGCUCUGUUAUGGUUGCGCAUGUUUCUCGUGGUGUUGUAAUGGUUGUCUUAAUGUGACCUUAAUGAUGCUUAAUGUGUGAUUGGCUUACUGUUAAUAAAGACUGGUUUUAUUUUUAAAA